CGUUCUAUUAGCUAGUUGGUACGGUAACGGCGUACCAAGGCGACGAUAGAUAGGGGUCCUGAGAGGGAGAUCCCCCACACUGGUACUGAGACACGGACCAGACUCCUACGGGAGGCAGCAGUGAGGAAUAUUGGACAAUGGGCGGAAGCCUGAUCCAGCCAUGCCGCGUGUGUGAAGAAGGCCUUUUGGUUGUAAAGCACUUUAAGCGAGGAGGAGGCUACUAGUAUUAAUACUACUGGAUAGUGGACGUUACUCGCAGAAUAAGCACCGGCUAACUCUGUGCCAGCAGCCGCGGUAAUACAGAGGGUGCGAGCGUUAAUCGGAUUUACUGGGCGUAAAGCGUGCGUAGGCGGCUUUUUAAGUCGGAUGUGAAAUCCCCGAGCUUAACUUGGGAAUUGCAUUCGAUACUGGGAAGCUAGAGUAUGGGAGAGGAUGGUAAAAUCCAGGUGUAGCGGGGAAAUGCGUAGAGAUCUG
rnacentral:rRNA from 1 species